GUCCAUACGUAAACGAUGAAUGCUAAGUGUUGGAGGGUUUCCCCUUUCAGUGCUGCAGCUAACGCAUUAAGCAUUCCGCUGGGGAGUACGGCCGCAAGGCUGAAACUCAAAGGAAUUGACGGGGGCCCGCAUAAGCGGUGGAGCAUGUGGUUUAAUUCGAAGCUACGCGAAGAACCUUACCAGGUCUUGACAUACUAUGCAAAUCUAAGAGAUUAGACGUUCCCUUCGGGGACAUGGAUACAGGUGGUGCAUGGUUGUCGUCAGCUCGUGUCGUGAGAUGUUGGGUUAAGUCCCGCAACGAGCGCAACCCUUAUUAUCAGUUGCCAGCAUUAAGUUGGGCACUCUGGUGAGACUGCCGGUGACAAACCGGAGGAAGGUGGGGAUGACGUCAAAUCAUCAUGCCCCUUAUGACCUGGGCUACACACGUGCUACAAUGGAUGGUACAACGAGUUGCGAACUCGCGAGAGUAAGCUAAUCUCUUAAAGCCAUUCUCAGUUCGGAUUGUAGGCUGCAACUCGCCUACAUGAAGUCGGAAUCGCUAGUAAUCGCGGAUCAGCAUGCCGCGGUGAAUACGUUCCCGGGCCUUGUACACACCGCCCGUCACACCAUGAGAGUUUGUAACACCCAAAGUCGGUGGGGUAACCUUUAGGAACCAGCCGCCUAAGGUGGGACAGAUGAUUAGGGUGAAGUCGUAACAAGGUAACCA
rnacentral:rRNA from 1 species